rnacentral:rRNA from 1 species
AUUGAACGCUGGCGGCAGGCCUAACACAUGCAAGUCGAGCGGAGCGGCGGACGGGUGAGUAAUGCCUAGGAAUCUGCCUGUUAGUGGGGGAUAACGUCCGGAAACGGGCGCUAAUACCGCAUACUAUCAGAUGAGCCUAGUUCGGAUUAGCUAGUUGGUGGGGUAAAGGCCUACCAAGGCGACGAUCCGUAACUGGUCUUAGAGGAUGAUCAGUCACACUGUAAAUGGGAAAUGGUCAAGCCUCCAAAGGGAGGCGGCAUGGGGGAAGAUUGGACAAGGGGCGAAGUCCUGAUCCAGCCAUGCAGCGUGUGUGAAGAAGGGCUUCGGAUGGGAAAUCACUUUAAGUUGGGAGGCGUUACCAACAGAAUAAGCACCGGCUAACUCCGUGCCAGCAGCCGCGGUAAUA